rnacentral:rRNA from 1 species
UACGUAGGGACCAAGCGUUGUUCGGAUUUACUGGGCGUAAAGGGCGCGUAGGCGGCGUGACAAGUCACUUGUGAAAUCUCUGAGCUUAACUCAGAACGGCCAAGUGAAACUGUUGUGCUAGAGUGCAGAAGGAGCAAUCGGAAUUCUUGGUGUAGCGGUGAAAUGCGUAGAUAUCAAGAGGAACACCUGAGGUGAAGACGGGUUGCUGGGCUGACACUGACGCUGAGGCGCGAAAGCCAGGGGAGCAAACGGG